rnacentral:rRNA from 1 species
GACGAACGCUGGCGGCGUGCUUAACACAUGCAAGUCGAACGAAGAGCGAUGGAAGCUUGCUUCUAUCAAUCUUAGUGGCGCACGGGUGAGUAACGCGUAAUCAACCUGCCCUUCAGAGGGGGACAACAGUUGGAAACGACUGCUAAUACCGCAUACGAUCUAAUCUCUGCAUCGAGGAUAGAUGAAAGGUGGCCUCUACAUGUAAGCUAUCACUGAAGGAGGGGAUUGCGUCUGAUUAGCUAGUUGGAGGGGUAACGGCCCACCAAGGCGAUGAUCGGUAGCCGGUCUGAGAGGAUGAACGGCCACAUUGGGACUGAGACACGGCCCAGACUCCUACGGGAGGCAGCAGUGGGGAAUCUUCCGCAAUGGACGAAAGUCUGACGGAGCAACGCCGCGUGAGUGAUGACGGCCUUCGGGUUGUAAAGCUCUGUUAAUCGGGACGAAAGGCCUUCUUGCGAAUAGUGAGAAGGAUUGACGGUACCGGAAGAGAAAGCCACGGCUAACUACGUG